GACGAACGCUGGCGGCGUGCCUAAUACAUGCAAGUUGAGCGAUGAAGAUUGGUGCUUGCACCAAUUUGAAGAGCAGCGAACGGGUGAGUAACGCGUGGGGAAUCUGCCUUUGAGCGGGGGACAACAUUUGGAAACGAAUGCUAAUACCGCAUAACAACUUUAAACAUAAGUUUUAAGUUUGAAAGAUGCAAUUGCAUCACUCAAAGAUGAUCCCGCGUUGUAUUAGCUAGUUGGUGAGGUAAAGGCUCACCAAGGCGAUGAUACAUAGCCGACCUGAGAGGGUGAUCGGCAACAUUGGGACUGAGACACGGCCCAAACUCCUACGGGAGGAAGCAGUAGGGAAUCUUCGGAAAUGGACGAAAGUCUGAACGAGCAACGCCGCGUGAGUGAAGAAGGUUUUCGGAUCGUAAAACUCUGUUGGAGAGAAGAACGUUGGUGAGAGUGGAAAGCUCAUCAAGUGACGGUAACUACCCAGAAAGGGACGGCUAACUACGUG
rnacentral:rRNA from 1 species